CACGUAGUUAGCCGGUGCUUCUUAUCCAGGUACCGUCACUUUCGCUUCGUCCCUGACGAAAGGAGUUUACAGCCCGAAGGCCGUCAUCCCCCACGCGGCGUCGCUGCAUCAGGCUUGCGCCCAUUGUGCAAUAUUCCCCACUGCUGCCUCCCGUAGGAGUCUGGGCCGUAUCUCAGUCCCAAUGUGGCCGUACACCCUCUCAGGCCGGCUACCCGUCGACGCCUUGGUAGGCCAUUACCCCACCAACAAGCUGAUAGGCCGCGAGCUCAUCCCACACCGAAAAACUUUCCACAAUGGCAUCCAAACCAUCGUCCUAUCCGGUAUUAGACCCAGUUUCCCAGGCUUAUCCCGAAGUGCAGGGCAGAUCACCCACGUGUUACUCACCCGUUCGCCACUCGAGUACCCCUGCAAGCAGGAGCCUUUCCGUUCGACUUGCAUGUGUUAAGCACGCCGCCAGCGUUCAUCCUGAGCCAGGAUCAAACUCU
rnacentral:rRNA from 1 species